AAACCUCUUUCAGUAGGGAAGAAGCGAAAGUGACGGUACCUGCAGAAGAAGCACCGGCUAACUACGUGCCAGCAGCCGCGGUAAUACGUAGGGUGCGAGCGUUAUCCGGAAUUAUUGGGCGUAAAGAGCUCGUAGGCGGUUUGUCGCGUCUGUCGUGAAAGUCCGGGGCUUAACCCCGGAUCUGCGGUGGGUACGGGCAGACUAGAGUGCAGUAGGGGAGACUGGAAUUCCUGGUGUAGCGGUGGAAUGCGCAGAUAUCAGGAGGAACACCGAUGGCGAAGGCAGGUCUCUGGGCUGUAACUGACGCUGAGGAGCGAAAGCAUGGGGAGCGAACAGGAUUAGAUACCCUGGUAGUCCAUGCCGUAAACGUUGGGCACUAGGUGUGGGGACCAUUCCACGGUUUCCGCGCC
rnacentral:rRNA from 2 species